GCUGCUGUCCCCACCAGAUCUUGCAUCCCCCAUGCUUGACACAGGAAAUGCUGGCGAGAACAGGUGCCUUCCAUGGGGUGGCAAGACACUGGAACAGCGGUAGCCAGGGAACGGCUGCAGUCGUGGCCAAGUGCACAAGCCUCUGCCGGGGACCUGGCCACACUUGUGUGACCCUGCUUCUUCCCAGAAGCAAGUCCGCUCUUUCUGCUCUUUGUCCGGCCUCAGUUGUCCCCUCUGGGUAUUCCCUAGGUAGCUGCUGUCUAAAAGCAGAGCAUCACAGCAAUCCUUCUGCCUCAGCCUCCUGAAUGCUGGGAUGAGGAGCGUGAGUCACCACACCUGGGUCUUUUUUUUUUUUUUUUCAAAUUAGGAAACUGGGGUCUAAAGAAAAUUUAAAAUCUUAAAUAAAGUAGGAGAUAGGCAGAGCCAGGAUUUGAACUCAGGCUUGCCUCAUUCUAGAGUUAGGUCUGGGUAUCACGGAGCGUGAGGCUGUUUGGAGACUAUGCCAACCAGCUUUUUACCACUGUAAUAAAAUACAGGAUGCAAUGAUUCAGGUUACUCAUGAUGAAAAGAGAAUUCCUGCCUGUCCUGGAACUCCUUCUGUAGACCAUGCUGGCCUUGAACUCACAGAGAUCCGCUUGCCUCUGCCUCCAGAGUGCUGGGAUCAAAGGCGCGUGCCACCACACCAGGACAAAAGAGAUUUCUUCAGCCCACAGUUUUGAAGAUUCAAAAUUCAGGAUCAGAUAGUUCCAUUUGGUCUCUGGAGAAGGUACCAUGGAAUGUCAAAGCAGAAUACGUGGUCACAUGGGGAACCAAGGAACCAAGCGGGGCGAGAGCCAGGCUCACUCCUUCAAUGAGAACCUCCCAGCAAGAGGCAACUUCAUCCUUUUCCAAAGCAGAGACCUACUGAUUACUCAAGAACCCUACCAGAUUGACUGUCCCAGCUUUGAUCAUCUUUAAGAGCGGACCACGAUGCUCCAAAGACAGAUCUACACCUCUCCAGCACUGAAGGAAGCCCAGGCCAUGGAAAGCCACGCCCCUGUUGCCCGCAGCUCACAGGUGACCAGGAAGGAAGAGCAUUAGAACAACCUGCUGAUUGGCUGACUCCUCACGGAGUUCCACAACAGGCACGGAUUAACCUAACUCCCUACCACCAUCAAGGCCACGGUGAGACAGACCCAAUACAGCCAGGCCAGGUGGUGAGGUGCUGGCCAUGGCCUCUUUUUUGAUCUGUCGGGAGCUGCCAGCAUAGGGAACGAUCUGGAAAACUAAAUCAGCCAUGUUUUACAACUUUCCCGUUUCUCUACCCUUUCUUUCUUUGGCCCAGCCCCACCAGAGAAAGGAGCUGCUGAAGCUGAAGGCUGUCUCCACUUUCAGCUGUAGGCUGAGGGUCACAAGUCUCAAAUGCAAGUUCUACAUUUAGUUUUGAGGUCAAGAUGUACCUUCUCCAGCACCAUGUCUGCCUGCAUGCCACCAUGAUGUUAAU